UUGUUUCCCUCAUGUAGUACAUACUUGGUACACUGCUUGCCUUGAUGGGUUGCAAAAGUGGGCAACUAGCUCAGCUCCCGCCGGCUCUGCAUGCGCGGGCCCGAUGGCUCGGCAUUGGACACACCUGCUGACGUGCAAAGGCAAAGCUGUUCUCCCUUCUUUUUGGACGCUUGCCUGCCGAGUGCUCAGCGCCCAGGGCCAGGUCGUCCCUCAGAAGGAUCGGGCUCGCUCGCUCGCCACGGUGCGCCGGCGCCGUCCCGUGCCACCGUUCGGCGGUUUUAUCCGUAGGGCCAGAGCGCUCUUGGUCGGUGGGUGUAGUGUCGGUUCUUCGCCGCCGCUCCCGCUCGCCCGCUAUUUUAGCGCCGGAGAGAGGAGAGCCGAAGCUAAGGGUAGAAGCGGAGCGGUUGAGGUUGAGAGAGAGAGAGCGAAGGAGCCGUUGUCCUGCUUGUUGAGACCAAACUCGUGUGUGCGUUUACCCAUAGAAGUCACCUUGCGGAGGAGGCUCGACGGGUAGUCGAGGCGUAACACGCCUUACCCGAUUUCAGAUAGACUUCAUGACAGACACGUCAUGUUUCCUACCACAACGGGACCCAGAACCUGACCGAUCACAGGAGUCAACCCCAUAGCGGCUCCACGGCGUCUAGUAUUGUUUAAUGUUUGUCUUCAGUUGUCUUCCGGAAAGAUAACGGAAAGACUACUGGACCUAUCAACCCCUGAACAAAUUGGAACAGCCGACAAAGGACCUUGGACGAUGAGACGGCUGUGUCAAAAUGUACCGUAACGAUAUAUGGUAGUGUUGAUACUAAGAAUGACCUGUCUGUUAUAUGAUAUCGGUGUAGAUGGUAGAAUUUCAUUUCUUUUGACCCUGUUGACGGUUCAGAGUCUUUGUAGUUGCUCCCCUACGAAGUAACGCGCUUUUCGAAAACCCUGUAUCCCUGCUCCGCAAGUUUUUAUUAUAAGUCAGUCCAGGCUAAUAAGGAUAGGGCUCGAGUGGAUAGGUCCACUUGUGUCUUCAUAAGGCCGUUGAAGUACCAAGUCAGUCGGGGCCGAGUCUAAUGAUGAUACGCAGUCGUUCUAGAGAUAGCUCCUCGGGUCACGGAUGUCCAUGUACCAACCCCUUAUUAGCGGUCCGUUGUUUUCAAGGAGGUGUUUACUUGCUGCUUCCACGUAGAAAUAAACCGCUCAAACAAGGUCGUGUCAGACGUGGUCGACGAUAAUGUUUUCUAAGGGAGAGUCACCAUGGUACCUAAAGACAACAGAACCCGUACACACACAACGUAUAAAACCAACCUUGGCGCGUAUCCCUGCGAAGGUUACUUUAAUAGUAGGGACAGCCGUCUUUCGAGAAUCAACAUCGCCUACUGGUACGUCCAAGUAGAGACUUGGUACCGUCACCUUCACCUUAACCUUCGAAAGAACCAACCCGGUACCGUCAAUAGAUAUACCCGCCUGCUGAAGGGGUCUAGAAGAAUUUAUACGUUUCUCCGGUACGGCUCCCCGAGUCAGGCGAUUACAAAUGGAAACGAAAUCACCCCUUAUGCUGUAUACAACCCUCAUAGGAACACUUAUCAAACCUGACCCGUGCUGAAUCUGGUUUAGACGGCACCGAACAUCUACGACCUCCUACGCAAAACGAACUAAGAAAGUAAUAAGAAGUCAAGGAAAUAAAAGUAAUGGCCUUCGUUUCACCCGCACUACUUGAACUGUUAAACCUAUUUCGGAUUACGUGUCGUUUGUUUCAUAAAGUAAAGAAAAGAAGUUACCUUUUCUGUACCUCGAUGGUGGACGCACCCCUAACACGUAAAAAGAACCUUUCGACGCGUUAUCGGUGAGGGGCACGUCUUGACGUCUCUGUUCCAAGUGUGCGAAUUAAACGCCACUUACUCGACGCCGCGGCGUACCAAUUCCCUACUUUAGACAAUUCCCUAUCUACGUCGUCAGACGGCACAAUCUUAUGGUUUUUACAUACACAGUACAUGAGUCCCAGUACGAUAUAGACAUGUAGCAUACCACUAAACGUCAAGAAGUACGAUAGAGAUAAAAACAUCACCACAGCAGAACACAUCCGGUAACAACAGCCUACGAGUCUAAGUUUAUGCGCAGCUCCGGGGUAGGAAACUGAGAUUUAUACCAAUACGUAAUGGUUUUUCGGAGAAUCGCCUCUUAGAGAAGAUUUGCGA
rnacentral:rRNA from 1 species